UACGUAGGGUGCGAGCGUUGUCCGGAAUUACUGGGCGUAAAGAGCUCGUAGGUGGUUUGUCGCGUUGUUCGUGAAAACCGGGGGCUUAACCCUCGGCGUGCGGGCGAUACGGGCAGACUUGAGUACUGCAGGGGAGACUGGAAUUCCUGGUGUAGCAGUGAAAUGCGUAGAUAUCAGGAGGAAUACCGAUGGCGAAGGCAGGUCUCUGGGCUGACACUGACGCUCAUGCACGAAAGCGUGGGGAGCAAACAGG
rnacentral:rRNA from 1 species